UACAGAGGGUGCAAGCGUUAAUCGGAAUUACUGGGCGUAAAGCGUGCGUAGACGGUAGCGUAAGUCGGGUGUGAAAGCCCCGGGCUCAACCUGGGAAUUGCAUUCGAGACUGCUCUGCUAGGGUGCGGAAGAGGGAAGCGGAAUUUCCGGUGUAGCGGUGAAAUGCGUAGAUAUCGGAAGGAACACCAGGGGCGAAGGCGGCAUCCUGGCCCAGAACUGACGCUGAGGCGCGAGAGCGUGGGGAGCGAACCGG
rnacentral:rRNA from 1 species